UACGAAGGGGGCUAGCGUUGCUCGGAAUUACUGGGCGUAAAGCGCACGUAGGCGGCUUUCUAAGUCGGGGGUGAAAUCCUGGAGCUCAACUCCAGAACUGCCUUUGAUACUGAGGAUCUUGAGUUCGGGAGAGGUGAGUGGAACUGCGAGUGUAGAGGUGAAAUUCGUAGAUAUUCGCAAGAACACCAGUGGCGAAGGCGGCUCACUGGCCCGAUACUGACGCUGAGGUGCGAAAGCGUGGGGAGCAAACAGG
rnacentral:rRNA from 1 species